rnacentral:rRNA from 1 species
GACGAACGCUGGCGGCGUGCCUAAUACAUGCAAGUAGAACGCUGAAGCUUGGUGCUUGCACCGAGCGGAUGAGUUGCGAACGGGUGAGUAACGCGUAGGUAACCUGCCUGGUAGCGGGGGAUAACUAUUGGAAACGAUAGCUAAUACCGCAUAACAGUAGAUAUCGCAUGAUAGCUACUUGAAAGGUGCAAAUGCACCACUACCAGAUGGACCUGCGUUGUAUUAGCUAGUUGGUGAGGUAACGGCUCACCAAGGCAACGAUACAUAGCCGACCUGAGAGGGUGAUCGGCCACACUGGGACUGAGACACGGCCCAGACUCCUACGGGAGGCAGCAGUAGGGAAUCUUCGGCAAUGGACGGAAGUCUGACCGAGCAACGCCGCGUGAGUGAAGAAGGUUUUCGGAUCGUAAAGCUCUGUUGUAAGAGAAGAACGAGUGUGAGAGUGGAAAGUUCACACUGUGACGGUAGCUUACCAGAAAGGGACGGCUAACUACGUG